AGUAAAUAAAAAUUGUGAAAGCAAAAAAUUAUGGCGGUAUUUUAAGCUUUUCAGAGGAAUUUGCUCUUUAAUGGAUAAAACACCCAAAUCUUACUUAAAUUUGUUAAAUCAAUUUGUAUACCACUAUAAAAACAAUUAAUAACUUUAAUUGUUAAAAAUUAUUUACAUUAAAUUAUGUUAAGUCAAGGUGCAGUAAAAAUUUAAGAAUGAAGUGAAUUACAUUUCUUUUUAGAAACAAGAAAUUAAAUUUAUAAAUAGGAUUUGAAAGUAAAAUUAAAAUAGAAUGUUAAUUUGAAUAAAGCUCUAAAAUAUGUACAUA
rnacentral:rRNA from 1 species